ensembl:snoRNA
UGGUCAUUAUCAAGGCUUUUAGAAAGAAGGUUCUCAUCUUCUGUGGACUUGACCAUAAAAUAAUUUUCCACUAGGUUUUCUAUCUGUUACCUUGUUAGCAAUCAAACUGCUGGAAACAUUA